UACAGAGGGGGCAAGCGUUGUUCGGAAUUACUGGGCGUAAAGGGCGCGUAGGCGGCCUGUUAAGUCGAACGUGAAAUCCCCGGGCUCAACCCGGGAACUGCGUCCGAUACUGGCAGGCUUGAAUCCGGGAGAGGGAUGCGGAAUUCCAGGUGUAGCGGUGAAAUGCGCAGAUAUCAGGAGGAACACCGGUGGCGAAGGCGGGUCUCUGGGCCGAUACUGACACUGAGGAGCGAAAGCGUGGGGAGCGAACAGG
rnacentral:rRNA from 1 species